UACGUAGGGGGCAAGCGUUGUCCGGAUUUAUUGGGCGUAAAGAGCGUGUAGGCGGCUAGGCAGGUCCGUUGUGAAAACUCGAGGCUCAACCUCGAGCUGUCGAUGGAAACCAUCUGGCUAGAGUCCGGAAGAGGAGAGUGGAAUUCCUGGUGUAGCGGUGAAAUGCGCAGAUAUCAGGAAGAACACCCGUGGCGAAGGCGGCUCUCUGGUACGUGACUGACGCUGAGACGCGAAAGCGUGGGGAGCGAACAGG
rnacentral:rRNA from 1 species